rnacentral:rRNA from 1 species
ACUGAAUAGAUACCCAGGUAGUCCACGCCUUAAACGAUGAGAGCUAGUUGUCAGUAAGCAUGCUUAUUGGUGACGCAGCUAACGCAUUAAGCUCUCCGCCUGGGGAGUACGGCCGCAAGGUUAAAACUCAAAGAAAUUGACGGGGGCCCGGCCACAAGCGGUGGAGCAUGUGGUUUAAUUUCGAAGCAACGCGCAGAACCUUACCCACCCUUUGUACAUCCCGUCGCUAUCUAGAGAGAUCUAGAGUCCCUUCGGGGUCGGCGGAGACAGGUGCUGCAUGGCUGUCGUCAGCUCGUGUCGUGAGAAUGUUGGGUUUAAGUCCCGCAACGAGCGCAACCCUCCGCUUCUAGUUGCCAGCAUUUAGUUGGGCACUCUAGAGGAACUGCCUGCGCCAAGCAGGAGGAAGGCGGGGGAUGACGUCAAGUCCUCAU